AACAUCACAAGGUGCACGACAAAAAAUCUAUUCUGACCUUAGUAGGUGCAACUGCUAGUUAUGGUAGUGCCGAUGGGAGUACAAUUGUGGCUUCUUGUUCGGAAGGGACUGAUAUUAGACUCUGGCAUGCAAAAACGGGAAAGCUGGUGGGUGAUGUUGACACUAAUCAAUUAAAAAAUACCAUGGCUACUUUGUCACCAAAUGGGCGUUUUAUUGCGGCAGCUGCUUUUA
rnacentral:misc_RNA from 1 species